UUCAUUUUAGUAUAUCAUGUACAAAGGUUUUUGAUACCUUAGGGGGCAGGUUGAAUCUGUCAAAUGUAA
rnacentral:tRNA from 1 species